rnacentral:rRNA from 1 species
GAUUAACGCUAGCGGCAGGCAUAAUACAUGCAAGUUGAACGAGAUUAGUUUUAGCAAUAGAACUAGUUUAGUGGCGCACGGGUGCGUAACGCGUAUGCAACCUACCUUAAACAGGGGAAUAGCCUCUCGAAAGAGAGAUUAAUACCGCAUAAUAUAUAUUUAAUGCAUAUUAGAUAUAUUAAACCUACGGGGGUUUAAGAUGGGCAUGCGUGACAUUAGCUAGUUGGUGAGGUAACGGCUCACCAAGGCAACGAUGUCUAGGGGGUCUGAGAGGAUGUCCCCCCACACUGGUACUGAGACACGGACCAGACUCCUACGGGAGGCAGCAGUAGGGAAUAUUGGUCAAUGGGGGGCAACCCUGAACCAGCCAUGCCGCGUGCAGGAAUAAGGCCCUAUGGGUCGUAAACUGCUUUUGAACGGGAGAAAUCUAUUUACGUGUAAAUAGUUGACGGUACCGUUAGAAUAAGGAUCGGCUAACUUCGUGCCAGCAGCCGCGGUAAUCUGAGUCGGAG